GAUGAACGCUGGCGGCGUGCCUAAUACACGCAAGUCGAGCGAACGGACGAGAAGCUUGCUUCUCUGAUGUUAUCGGCGGACGGGUGAGUAACACGUGGAUAACCUACCUAUAAGACUGGGAUAACUUCGGGAAACCGGAGCUAAUACCGGAUAAUAUUUUGAACCGCAUGGUUCAAAAGUGAAAGACGUUCUUGCUGUCACUUAUAGAUGGAUCCGCGCUGCAUUAGCUAGUUGGUAAGGUAACGGCUUACCAAGGCAACGAUGCAUAGCAGACCUGAGAGGGUGAUCGGCAACACUGGAAGUGAGAAACGGACAAGACGCAUACGGGAGGCAGCAGUAGGGAAUAUUCCGCAAUGGGCGAAAGCAUGACGGAGCAACGCCGCGUGAGUGAUGAAGGUCUUCGGAUCGUAAAACUCUGUUAUUAGGGAAGAAAAUAUGUGUAAGUAACUGUGCACAUAUUGACGGUACCUAAUCAGAAAGCAACGGCUAACUACGUG
rnacentral:rRNA from 1 species